rnacentral:rRNA from 1 species
UAGGCGGUUGUUUAUUUCAGGGUAAAGGCUAUGGCUUAACCCAUGGUUAGCACUUGAAACUGUACAACUUGAGUGCAGGAGAGGUAAGUGGAAUUCCUAGUGUAGCGGUGAAAUGCGUAGAUAUUAGGAGGAACACCAGUGGCGAAGGCGACUUACUGGACUGUAACUGACGCUGAGUCACGAAAGCGUGGGUAGCAAACCAGGAUUAGAUACCCUGGUAGUCCGCGCUGUAAACGAUGAGUGCUAGGUGUUGGCCAGCGAUGGUCAGUGCCGCAGUUAACACAAUAAGCACUCCGCCUGGGGAGUACGGUCGCAAGACUGAAACUCAAAGGAAUUGACGGGGACCCGCACAAGCAGC